rnacentral:pre_miRNA from 1 species
ACAACGUUCGGACCGUCGGUCUACCGAGCAAUAUCACCCGCUCGGUAUAAGAUCUUCCUUUCUUCGU